rnacentral:ncRNA from 2 species
UUUAAGCACAGUAACUGACGACAAACGUGGAAUCGACCACAUGGGAGCUGUGUUUUUUAUAGAGUCGGGUCGUCUGGGCAGAGAUA